UACUGUUUUAUUGAUUGUUGAGUGAUUUCCAGAUUUCUUCUUUGGUAUUCUGUCUCCUAGCUUUGGGUCUAAGGGUGUGUUGGUUUGUUUUGAGUUGGUUUGGUGUCAUUCCUGCUGGAUUUGGUGGUUUUCAUGUGGAUUUAAACAUUUCUGGGUUAUAUUGUCGAUUUCCUGGGUUGUUCAUUGUUGUUGUUGACUCACUCAAAGUGUUGCUGCCUGAAUUUCCCUUGUUCUGUUGCUAUAUAGCUGCUGUUCAUCCUUUUUUUCUCUUGUUAAAAUCCCAUUUCCAGGUACACAAUCGAAAACCUGAAAACAUGCAGAGAAUCGGAGAAAAU
rnacentral:lncRNA from 1 species